rnacentral:rRNA from 1 species
GAUGAACGCUGGCGGCGUGCCUAAUACAUGCAAGUCGAGCGAACGGACGAGAAGCUUGCUUCUCUGAUGUUAGCGGCGGACGGGUGAGUAACACGUGGAUAACCUACCUAUAAGACUGGGAUAACUUCGGGAAACCGGAGCUAAUACCGGAUAAUAUUUUGAACCGCAUGGUUCAAAAGUGAAAGACGGUCUUGCUGUCACUUAUAGAUGGAUCCGCGCUGCAUUAGCUAGUUGGUAAGGUAACGGCUUACCAAGGCAACGAUGCAUAGCCGACCUGAGAGGGUGAUCGGCCACACUGGAACUGAGACACGGUCCAGACUCCUACGGGAGGCAGCAGUAGGGAAUCUUCCGCAAUGGGCGAAAGCCUGACGGAGCAACGCCGCGUGAGUGAUGAAGGUCUUCGGAUCGUAAAACUCUGUUAUUAGGGAAGAACAUAUGUGUAAGUAACUGUGCACAUCUUGACGGUACCUAGUCAGAAAGCCACGGCUAACUACGUGCCAGCAGCCGCGGUAAUACGUAGGUGGCAAGCGUUAUCCGGAAUUAUUGGGCGUAAAGCGCGCGUAGGCGGUUUUUUAAGUCUGAUGUGAAAGCCCACGGCUCAACCGUGGAGGGUCAUUGGAAACUGGAAAACUUGAGUGCAGAAGAGGAAAGUGGAAUUCCAUGUGUAGCGGUGAAAUGCGCAGAGAUAUGGAGGAACACCAGUGGCGAAGGCGACUUUCUGGUCUGUAACUGACGCUGAUGUGCGAAAGCGUGGGGAUCAAACAGGAUUAGAUACCCUGGUAGUCCACGCCGUAAACGAUGAGUGCUAAGUGUUAGGGGGUUUCCGCCCCUUAGUGCUGCAGCUAACGCAUUAAGCACUCCGCCUGGGGAGUACGACCGCAAGGUUGAAACUCAAAGGAAUUGACGGGGACCCGCACAAGCGGUGGAGCAUGUGGUUUAAUUCGAAGCAACGCGAAGAACCUUACCAAAUCUUGACAUCCUUUGACAACUCUAGAGAUAGAGCUUUCCCCUUCGGGGGACAAAGUGACAGGUGGUGCAUGGUUGUCGUCAGCUCGUGUCGUGAGAUGUUGGGUUAAGUCCCGCAACGAGCGCAACCCUUAAGCUUAGUUGCCAUCAUUAAGUUGGGCACUCUAAGUUGACUGCCGGUGACAAACCGGAGGAAGGUGGGGAUGACGUCAAAUCAUCAUGCCCCUUAUGAUUUGGGCUACACACGUGCUACAAUGGACAAUACAAAGGGCAGCGAAACCGCGAGGUCAAGCAAAUCCCAUAAAGUUGUUCUCAGUUCGGAUUGUAGUCUGCAACUCGACUACAUGAAGCUGGAAUCGCUAGUAAUCGUAGAUCAGCAUGCUACGGUGAAUACGUUCCCGGGUCU